CGUGGGUAAGGCGAUCAGCGAGAACCCCGGCUACCUGAAGCUGAGGAAGAUCCGCGCCGCGCAGAACAUCGCGCGCACGAUCGCCCAGUCACAGACAAGGUCUACCUCAACACGGGCACGCUGAUGCUCAACAUCAACGACGACCAGUUCGACGCCAGCGCCGACCGACUCAAGAAGAAGUAAACCCCGCGUCCCGCCGCCGUACCAGAGGUGGGAGACGGUGCAGUGUGCCUGGGACAGUGAGCCGGCGGCGUGGGUUCAAUUCCGGGCGCGGGCGGACGGUGUUGCAACCGCGCGAACGCGCCAGACGGCUGGGCCUCGUGAGUUGGGUGGUGCCACUGUGGGUGAGCCGCGAGUGUAAGUGAGUUAGUGCUACACGUGAGGAUGCGUCAGUCGUGGUGUGUGUGCCCGUUUUGGAUGAGUUUUCGGUGAGCGCUGCGCUGUGUCGGAGCUGGCGGGCAGACGCCGGGCGGCCCGCGCGUCCCGUCGAUUAGCGUUCACCGGAGCACGGGACCCGCGGGGCCGCGCGUCUGCCGCCGCCCCUAUACUGAUAGUGUCCGGAGUGCGCAGCGGCCGGCCGUUUACCGCCAGCUGCCGAUGACCAUAUGAAUACAUUAUUGUCAUAAGUCAG